AGUUUAAAUAUAAACAACAGUAAAAUAUGAGAAAAUCAAGUAAACAAAGACUUAUUUAAUUUUCUUCAUUUCUGAGCAAACUAACCGUGAAACAGGUCGAACGAAUCGAUACGGACAGAGCAACGAAGCCGGAACCAACUGACCGGAAAAACUCGAACCUCGACGGAACCCAGAAAUAGAGCUUUGGACAAGUUAGACAGCAACCUCAGACGAUGACGCUUCCAGCGAGUUAGGAGCUGGGACGUUUGGAUCAAGCUGGCGGUGUGACGACGAGCUGUGAAGCUGAAACAGCCGCAACGGCAGCGUGAAGGGCUGUGCGUGUGUGUUGGUGACGAUGAA
rnacentral:lncRNA from 1 species